GACGAACGCUGGCGGCGUGCCUAAUACAUGCAAGUCGAACGCAGUGGGGACGGGUGAGGAACACGUGGGUAACCUCCCAUCAGAAGGGGGAAAACUUGGAAAAAGGUGCUAAACCGAUACUGAAGGAUGGAGCCGCGGUGCAUUAGCUAGUUGGUGAGGUAACGGCUCACCAGGGACACGAUGCAUAGCGGACCUGAGAGGUUGUUCAGCCACACUGGGACUGAGACACGGCCCAGACGCCUACGGGAGGCAGCAGUUGGGAAUCUUCGACAAUGGACGAAUGUCUGACCGAGCAAGGCCGCGUGAGUGAAGACGGUUUGCGGAUCGUAAACCACUGUUGUUAGAGAGGCGGUAUCUAACCAGAAAGCCACGGCUAACUCCGUGCCAGCAGCCGCGGUAAUAC
rnacentral:rRNA from 1 species